GUAUACAAUAUCCAAUAUCAAUGGGUGAAGUGAGAAGACGUAUGAUGGGAGGAGAGGAGAGAAUAUCUAUAUGAAAAGAUAGAUAUGGCCAUGCUAUUUUGCUAUCAACGUGACCACUAAUUUCACUUUAUGUAGAUUUUUAAAUCCGUGAUCCAAUCCGACCCGAAUUAGACUCGAAUCGGACCCGCAUUUCAUGGAUUGGGACC
rnacentral:lncRNA from 1 species